CAGGGGAGCUGAGUGAAUUCUCCCAAUAUCUUUUGUUCAUUUUGCCCAAAGGGUUUUAGGGACUUCCUCCAAAAGGGCUGGGUUCUUGGAGUUAUCCUCUGUUUUAUGAUGAAAAACUGUUAGAGAUACUGAAGAUUUCUUAAUGUUAUCUGAAGCAGUGAGGGUUGAGUCGAUUUCAAGAAGUAUUUCCCCCUUUUGAGAAAAAGAGAUGGCAGCAUGAUAUUUUUCUAAAAUGUCUUGUCCCAGUAAGUUGGCAGUAGCAGAAUUGACCAAUAGGAAAGAAUGACUGUCCUAGAGAGGGCCCAAUUGGAAAGGGAAGGGAAGGGAUUUAUAAGCUGUAGGGGGUUUAUUAGAUACUGCCACAAUUUGAAUUUUCUCAGUACUCUAAGGAAGGGGUUGUUUGAGGUUGGCAGGGUUGAACAUGGAAAGUGUGGCUUCAGCAUUGAUUAAGAUAGUAAGGACCUCAUUUCUGAUUAUUACGGAAGUUUCACCCAGGUGAUUAAUGAGGAGGAUCAGAAAAACUCCUUGUUUUUUCCCAGAGCAGCUUCAGUCCAUAGGAGGAGCUGAGGCUUAACAUCGGAGGAUUGUUUAGAGUGUUUUAGUUUAAGACAAUUGUUUUGCCAAUGGCUAGACUUUUUGCAAAAAUAGCAAACAUUUUUAGAGUUUAAAGGGUUUUACUUAGUUUGGUGAGGCUGAAAGGAGGCUGAUAGUUCUUGAAGCCGUAAAUUCUUGAUUUUAGUAGCCUUUUGUUUAUUUGAUUUUUGGAUAGUCUGGGCUAAUUGAUUUGCUGAAUUAACCAAAUCAGGAGUUGUUAUAAUUUCCCAAUUAAGUUGUGCUCACUUUACUAGAAGUGCAAGAUCUUCAUCUAAGACAUUUCUGAACACGGAAUUCAAGGGCACCUUAGUGGACUCUGUAUCUGAAGGGAGUCCAGAAUUUUCCUUAAAAAUAACUUCAAGCCUGUUGUAAUAGUCAUGCACAGGUUUGUCAGUCCUUUGUGUGCAUGCUUGAAUUCUAUUCCAAUCAACAGGUUUUGGUAAGGCCAAGGGAUGGCCUCAUAUAAGGUUUUUGCUUUUUGUUGGGCUGUAGGUCUAUCAUCUGGCAUGGUUAUGAAAAGUCCUGUAAAGGAUGAUUCCACCCGAGGUUAGCCGUGUAAUUUUGGGCCUGACCACCUCCCACGAGCAGGGGAAUUAAUUGAUAAAGACUGGAAAAUCCAGGCUCUCAUAGGUUUAAAUAACAAUGUUAAAAUCUUCUCCAAACUGGUGAGGGUCCUCAGUAACCUUGGGAAAUAUUUUACCUAUAGCCCUCAAUUCUGCUUUUGUCCAAGGCAUGUAAGCUAUAUUUAGGUGGAUGUUCUCUUAGUUUAAAAGGAUGAAUUUGAACUGGUUUAGUAAGUGAAGUUGGGGCUGGAGGAUUGAGGCAAGCCUCAGGGUCUAGGAGAUAAAAACAGAGUUUAGCAAGGGAAGAAUAAAGGGAAAAGGGAGGUGGAGGGUGGAGGACAGGUUUGAGAAGCCAGAAGGGGAGGAGAUUGAGCAGAGGGGUAACAGGAAAAACGAGUCUUUUGUAAUAGAGAAAUCUUUUCAGUAAAUUUAGGAUUUGUGUCUGGGAGGGGAGCAAUUUUAAGAGUCCUGGACUCUUUUACAAGCUUCUAAAUACCAAUUAAAGUAAAUAUCCCAUUCAGCUUGUUUUGUUCUAUGUCUUUCAAGUUUAUUGCACAGACAAAUACGUUUAGAAACUUUGAAAGAGCCACAUUGUGGUCACUGUAAUUUUAAAUCAUCUUUGGUGUUAUUGGUCCACCGAGAUGGACAUUUACGAGAGGAAGGACCAUAGUUCUUACACAUGAUACCAGCUGGAGUUCCCCGAGGGAGGAAUUUCUUGGGAAACUUUAGAAAAUGAAGUGUCCCAUGGUGAAGAAAAGCAUGCAAAUGAGAAUGAUAAUAGCAAAAUCCGUCUAUUUAUUUAGUGUACUUACCAAUCAAGGAAAAAGAAUCUUGCUGAGGGAAACUCUUCCUGCAGCAAUGACCAUAAGCCAAAAAAGCCACACCAGCACUGAGACAGUUAUCUCCUGGCCAGUUCCCCCUGAUCCUCCCACCCCUUCCCCACAAAAGGCACUGGUCUUGACCAAAUGGAGGGAGUUCAGCACCUGAGAAGACUCACAAUUGGAAGAAUCAGUGAUCUGUGGAAAUGGUGAGCCCAAGGGGCUUGUGUAGGCACUGUACCCCAUUCUAGGGGAUGCCAAUCCACAAAGGUGAGAUCACUUCAGCUCCUGCUUUCUGACACCAUGUAUGUUAACGUAAAAAUAAAGAGCCAAAAUGAGAGGCAUUUAUUUUGGGAUCACGAAAUUGCAAUUUGGAAUAGCGUCCUGUUAGGUAGUAAGAGGUAGGGGCUUUUGAAGACAAAAGAGGAAGGUUUGCAUUACAAAGAAUGUUAAUUUGGAUUGGCUGUAGAAAGCUCAUCUUGGCUAAACAUAAUUGUGAGACUAUGGCCAAAGUGAGGUAAAAGUUUGUCACAGUGACCAGUUGCAGGUCUCCUGUGGUGGUCUCAGAUUAUUUGUGUCUUAACUCAGUUCAAAAGUUCAUAUUCUGACUGAUGAGGAUGUUUAUAAGACCAAUUUCCUUAUGGCUUCCCAGCACUAUUUUAAAGCCCUUAGAAAUAAGUGACACCGUUUUGUUUUACAUUUCACAUUUCCUUAUUGAUUUCCUGUCUGGAUUAUCUAUCCAUUGUUGAAAGUGGGGUAUUGAAGUCCCCUGCUCUUCUUGUAUUGCUGUGUAUUUAUUCCUUCAGAUCUGUUAAUAUUUACUCUUUAUAUUGAGGUGCUACUGUGUCAGGGGUGUAAGUAUUUACAGUUGUCAUAUCCUCUUGAUGAAUUGACCCCUUUAUCCUUAUAUAAUGGCUUCUUUGUCUCUUUCAAUCUUUGGCUUAAUCUAUUUUGUCUGAUAUAAGUAUAGCUCCCCCUGCUUUAUUCUGGUUUCCAUUUGCAUGGAAUAUCUUAUUCCACUCCUCCUUUUUCAUUCUAUGUGUGUCCUUAAAGCUUAGUUGUCUCUUCUAGGCAUUAUAUAGUUAAGUCUUUUUUUUUUUUUUUUUCAUACACUCAGCCACUCAGUCUUUUACUAAAGAAUUUAGUCAGUUUACAUUUAAAGUAAUUAUAGACAGAUUUGGACUGCUAUUGUCAUUUUGUUAAUUGUUGUUGUUUUGUAAUUCUUUUGCUCCUUUCUUCCUCUUUUCCUCAACUGCUUUUUGAUCUGAGGAUUUUCUGUAGUAGUAUGCUUUGAUUUCUUUAUCUUUUGUGCAUCCAGUAUAGGCUUUUGCUUUGUGGUUACCAUGAGGCUUACAUAAGAUAUCUUUUAUGUAUAUAAGUCUGUAUUAAGUUUGUAAUAUCUUUGAAUGUGUAUCAAUGCUCCCCCAAUCCCACAUAUGUUUUUGAUGUCACAAUUUUCUUCUUUUUACAUUGUGUAUCCAUUAAUGAAUUAUUGUACUUAUAGUUAUUUUUAAUACUUUUGUCUUUGAACAUUCAUCUACAGUUAUAAGUGAUUUACACAUCACCAUUACAUUAGAGUAUUCUGAGUUUAACUGUAUAUUUACCUUUACCAGUAAGUUUGAUAUUUUUAUAUGUUUUCCUCCUAUUUAUUAACAUCCUUUGGUUUCUGCUUGAAGAACAUUUUUUGUAAGACUGGUCUAGUAGUAAAUGAACUCUUUCAGCUUUUGUUUGUCUGGAAAACUUUAUUUCUCUUUUAGUUCUGAGGAACCACUUUGCCGGGGAGAAUAUUCUUGGUUGGCAGUUUUUUCUUUCAGUGUUUUGAAUAUAUUGCCCUGCUCCUUUCUGGCCUGCAAGAUUUCUGCUGAAAAUUUUGCUAAAAGUCUAAUGAGGGUUCCCUUGUAUUCAAUAAGUUGCUUUCUCUUGCUGCUUUUACAAUUUUCUCUUAAACUUUUGACAAUGUAAUUAUAAUGUAUUUUGGUGUGGGUCUCUUUGUCUUCCUUUUUUUGUUAUUCUCUGGGAUUCUUGGAUCUGGAUGUCUGUUUCUUUCCCCAUAUUAGGGUAGUUUUCAUGUCAUUAUUUCUUUGAAUAUGCUUUCUUCUCCUUCUCUCUCUUCUCCUUCUAGGACCUCUAUAAUAUGUAUAUUUGUUCUUUUGAUUGUGUCCCUAAGUCCCUUCAGCUAUCUCCACUUUUUCAUUCUUUUUUUCUUUUGGCUUAUCUGACUGGAUGGAUUCUAUUGCUCUGUCUUCAGUUUCACCAAUCCUUUCUUUUACUUGAUCUAGUCUACUAUUGAACGUGCCUAUUGGAUUUUUCAGUUCACUUAUUGUGUUAUUUAGCUUUCUGGUUUCUGUUUGGUGCUUUUAAUUUUCUUUUUUUCUUUGUUGAAAUUCUCACUUUGUUCAUACAUUGCUUUCCUGAUCUCAGGGAGCAUUUUUUUGACCAUUGUUUUGAACUCUCUAUCAGGUAUAUCACUUGUCUUGAUUUUAUUAAGAUCUGAUUCUGAAUGUUUAUCUUGUUUUUUGUUUGAAACAUAUUCCUUUGUCUCUUCAUUUUCCUUGAUUCUGUCUUGUUUCUGUGCAUAAGAUAAAAUAUCCACUUUUCUCAGUCAUGAAAUAAUGGUCUUGUGUAGGAAAUGAAUCUUUUUGAUCAGCCCAGCCCAACCUUCUAGUUGUCUCUCAAACCUUUGUGAUUGUCCAAGCCUUCUUUUUUGUUCUUAGAGGGUCACAGUAUUUGUGGAUGUGCCAAGACCCAAGAGUGUCCCAAAGGGGAGGUUCGCAGUCUGUGCCUAGUUGCAUGCUGAUUAGAAGGUUGCCCCUCAGGCAGCAAUUGGGAAACUAUGUAGUUAAGGUCCUUCUAGCGGGAAGCUGGAAGAUGGACAUUUUUGCCUGCUCCCUCUGUUGUGGGCCUGGGUAGAUAGCCAUAGGGUGGAGUGCUGUUGCACCUGUUAAGAGCUAUUUCUUUGUUUGCUACAGUCCUGUGGGACUUGUGAUUGCAAGCUCCUUUGUCUGUUAGAGCCAGGUGAUCUUGGGGCUUGUCCCUCAGGUGGCUUCCACAAAAUCUGGGGUACCAGAUGUGUGUAGAAGCUCCUUCCAGAGAAAUAUUGGUAACUUGGUUUUAUUAUUGGAGUGGGCUCAAGGGAAAAGGUGUGAGAGGUAUCUGCUUCCCUCUCUGGUUUCUGGGGAAGAUUGCGGCCAGCCCCUAGUUGGCCUGAUAAAUUAGAAGUCUGGCCCUCAGGCGACAGCUUUUAUAGUUUGCAGACAGACUUCUUUCAGGGGAAAAUUAGACUAUGGGCAAUUUUGCUUAUUCCUUCUGCACUGAACCUAGAGGGGAUAGUUGGUUGGGAAUAUGCUUCUUUAUUUGCUACAGUCCUGUGGGACUUGUGAAUGGAAGCCCCUUUAUCUAUCAGAGCCAGAUGGUCUGGAGACCUGGUCCUCAGUGGCAGCUACAAAUGCUGGGGUGCAAGUGAGUGUAUAAGCUCCUUCCAGGGAGAUACUUGGAACUUAGAGCAGGCUGGAGUGAGAAGGUGUGAGUAGUGUCCACUUCCUCAGUCUCUGGGGAGGAUCACAGCCAGAGCCAGUGCCUGCUAAAUUAGAAGACUGGCCUUUAGGCAGCAGCUUUUAAAGUAUGCAGAUAAAUCUCUUUCAUGGAAAGACUGUGAGAUGUGUUGUGUUGCCUGUUUCCUCUGUACUGAUCCCUGGGGUGAUAUCCUUGGUGAGUGCACAGUGGUUAAGAAUUGCUUCCUUGUUUGUUAGUCUUAUGAGUCUUGUGGACACAAGCUCCAUUGGCAUUUAGAGGUAGGGGUUUUGUGAGCUGGUCAUUCUGGUGAUAGUCUUAAAUGCUGGUGUGUUAGAUGUGGAAUCCAAGCCAUUAACUCUUCUGGGAGAAGCUAGAAGUUGAAGAUUCCCUCCCAGUUGUACCAUGCUGUGCUGGGGGUGGAUUUUACGGCACAGUGUCUCAGCCUUUCUUACCUGUUUCAAUGUGGAUAUUUUCUGAUUUGUCCUAUGUGUAGGAGUUGCUCAGCUAGUUUCUGGAUCUCUUUCAGAGGAAAUUGCUCUGUGUGUAGCUGUACAUUUGGUAUGUCUGUAAGAGGCAGGGAGCUCAGGAGCCUUCUAUGCACCAUCUUGGUCAACUCCCAAUUCCUAAACUUUGAAUCUUGCUUCUCAGUAAAAAUUUUUACCUUCUCCCUAACAUUGUUUUCCAAAUUUGAAGUAUAUUCUUCAAUAAUAUUUUAAUCUUCUGAGUUUUCUUACCCUUGAGUUAGAUGCCUCACUUAAAUGACAAUAAAAAUAUUUAUUUCUGCCAAAGCUCUUCCUGAGAUUGGAACCAUUAUUCUAGGGUUGCAUUUCAAUCCUGUGCUGACUUAUUAUUUUAAGUAAGGAUUACUUUAAAACAGAACUAAGUUAAGAACAUAUAAUUGUGGAAAAUCAGAGAAAUUUGCAUUAACUACACGAAUUUUAUUAGCUAUACAAAUUUCAUUAGCUAUGCAAAUAUAUACGUCUUUCACUGUUUCCUUUUUUUUCUUUAAAGAUAUUUUAUUCUGUGGAUCUGAUUUUCAUUAUGGCCAGUAAACAUAUUCUAUAUCAUUUGAAAGAUUUUAAAGCUUUUGUGAGUUGGUUUUUGGCCUAGUAUAUAGUUUGUCUUAGUGAAUGUACUGUAGGCGCUUAAAAAAAAGUAUGUUCAUUCUAAAGUUGUUGGUUAUAGUGUUUUAUAAAUGUCCAUUCAGUUGAGAGGGUUGAUAGUGUUGCUCAUGUCUUCUAUGAGUGAUAUUAUUGUGUCUUGUUCUAGAAAUUACUGAAAGAGUAGAGUUAAAAUCACCAACUGCCACUGUGGAUUUGUCUGUUACUCCCUUUAUUUAUGUCACUUUCAUUCCAUGUAAUUUGAAACUCUGUUAUUAGUCAGAUAAACGUUCAUAAUUGUUACGUUUUUCUUGUAAAUUGACCUUCUUAUAUUGUGAAAUAUCUCUAUCUCUGGUAAUACACUGUCUUGAAUUUUAUUUUAUCUAAAAUUAGUAUAGCCACCCCAGCCUUCUUAGGCUGUAUCUUUUCACCUUUUUUUCUUUCACCCUCUAUCUUUAUGUAUAGUUUUGUCAUUUUAGACAGCAGUAUAGUUGAGAUAUGUUUUAACUUUUAACAGCUGGAGUUUUUAUUUACGUAUAAUUAUUGAAAAUGUGGAUUUUCUACCAUUUUUAUUGUUUAUUUGUAAAUGUGUACUCACCUCCAGUGUCUAUGUUUUGUUUUUUGUUCUUGUCUCUCUUCUUUCUUGCCUUCUUUUGAUUGUUUGAAUACUUUUUAGAAUUCCAUUUUCCUUUAUCUUUUUAAGUCUAUCUCCUUGCAUUUUUUAUUGAUUACAAUAUAUAUAUUUAGUUUUUUCAGUCUUUUAAAAGUAAAUAUUAUAUUACUUCACAUAAACAUAAGAAUCUUAAACCCACAUAUACUCAUUUUCCUAGUCCCUGCCCUCUUUAUGCUAGAGUUGUCAUAUAUAUUAUAUUUCCAUUACUAUCAACUCUACAGCCAAUCAUAUAUUUGUUUUAAAUAAGUGUAUUUAUUGUAAAGAAUUUGAGGGAAAAAUAAUAUUUCAUAUUUACUUAAAUAUUAGUCAGUUUCCAUGCACUUCAUUCUAUCCUGAAGGUCCACGUUUCUUUCUGUUAUCAUUCUCUUUCUUCCCACAGAAAUUGCUUUAGCACUAUGACGACUGGCCCUAAUUUUUUUAUAGUUUUCUUUUAUCUGAUACUGUCUGUUUUAGUCUUCUUUAUUAAGGGAUAUUGUUACUGAAUAUAGAAUUAUGGCUUGAAUUUUUUUCUAGUACAUUAAAGACAAUAUUACAUAGUUUUCUGGCCUUCAUUGAAUAUAGCGAUUUCUCUCAGCUUUUUUGGUGGUAUCCAGCCUCCUUGGGCAAUGACUUAAGUCUAUUUUGACUUCAUCUGAGGAGUUAUAAUUGUUUCAACAUCUCAGAAUAGGAUUUAUAUAUUCCAACGCUAUUAUUUAACCUAGUUUGUAAAACGUGAAAGAGUCAAUAAUAUACAUAACCAGUGGAUACAAUCUUUAAUCCAAUCGAACUGUGUUUUCAAAGUUUCUUCUUGUUUGUCCACAUUAUGUGCAUCAGAGGGUUUAGAAAUAAAAAGAGAGUCUAAAAAUUGUUAACUUACUUAAAUUGUCCUAUUUUUUAAUUUUGCAGUCAACUAAAAAUAUAUAUGUGUGUUUACUUGAAACUUUUAUGGCCAAUUUAUUGUUAAUAUUCUAUGAAAACGUCACUCAAAAUCAAUUAGAAAAAAGAUAUCUGAGUUUGAAAGUGAGAAAGCAUAUAAAUUAACAAUUCGUAAAAGAAAAGUAUUGGGACCAGCCUGGUGGCAUAGUGGUUAAGUUCAUGCACUCUGCUUUGGCAGCCUGUGGUUCGCAUAUUUGGAUCCCGGGUGUGGACUUAUAUGCCACUCAUCAAGCCAUGCCAUGGUGGCAUCCCACAUGCAAAACAGAGAAAGAUUGGCACAGAUAUUAGUUCAGGGCCAAUCUUCCUCACCAAAAAUAAAUAAAUAAUUUUUUUAAAAAGUGUUCUAUGAUUGGCAAAGAGCAUAUAAAAAUAUGCUCAACUUUAUCAAUCUUUAUAAUAAAUUAAUUAAAUAGAUAUAUUAAACAAUUAUAAAUUAUUAUAUAAUGAAAUAAUUAUAUAUGUAUGUGUCUGUGUGUACAUACACGUAACACACAAAAAAUGAAGCACAUAAUGAAAUAAAUCAACAAUUACUUGCUUUUUUCACCUAUCAGAUGAAUAGUUACAUUUGCUAAUACAGGGUGGAGAAUUUUUUCGGGAGAUAGUGGAAAAUAUCUAUCAGAUGGAAAUUAGCACAUUUUGACUAACAAAUUUAUUUGUAGAAAUUUACCUAUAGGGUAUAGUAGGAAGUGUUUAAAGAUGUAUGUAAAUUCAAGCAUACUCAUUGCAACCUUAGUUAUACUUGUAAAAUUGAUGUAACCUGUUAAGUUGUAAGGCUAGGCAAAUUAGUCAUGAUAACAUUUAUCCAGUUGGAUUAUAUUCAGUUAUAUAUGGUAAUGUAUUUCAAAUUAAUUGAUACAAAAAUCCAGGGUUUUCGAAAGUUCAUUUAUCCACCAGUUAUUGAAUACCAACUAUGUUUGAGGCAUUAACAUUGUAUUUCAUUCAUGUAAAAUUAUAUAUGUAUGUGUUUGGAUAUGACCAAUAAAGCAAUUUAAUAGGAAGAAUAUUAAAAAAAGUUAUAGUGAAUUCUGAUCAUUAUUUUACUGUUUCAUUUGUGUGUGGUGUGUGUGUAUAGUUUAAAAUAUAUAUAUAUAUUUCAGUUAUAUAUAGCAUUUAUUAAGUUCUUAGUAUAUGUACCACAUGCUAAGAUAUACACUAUUUCAUGGAUUUUCUCAUUUAAUGUUCAUAAUAACCAUACGGAGUAGGAUAUUUACUCCCUUUCAAAGAUAAGAAAAUAGAGGCUGAGUUUGAUUGUAUAAUUCAUCCUAUUAUUCAUAACUUUAAAAAAACAUGACCCUAUGGAGUCACAGCCUUUGGAAGAUAAUUAAAAAUACUUAUAUUUUGCUAAAUCUAUUAAGAAAACAGUGUUUUGGGAAAGAAUGAAAAUUUCUGAGGUCAUAUUCAUUCUCCCUUUGUCUGUAAGGUCAGAGCCAUGAGAAUUACUAGGUGCAAUUUAUUGAGCUAAAAAGUGUAAGUGUUGAAAUAUUGCAGGAACAGGCGAAAAAGAUGAAUAGGACGUGGGUUUCUGGAAAAUUCCACGGUAUAGACCUGCAAAAUAUGACCUCUUGAAUUAUGGGGUACCAGUGCUUAGGAGACAGGACACUGUUCCUUAGCAGAAACCAUUUCAUAGAUGAAACAUGGGGAUACCAUGAGGGCAGAGAUCAAAGUGCAAAGAGAAAUGGCCAGUCAAGAUGAAUGUCACUAAAUGAAAGAAACCAAUUUUGGAAUAGACCUGAUGACAGGCAAUACCAAAACAUAAAUACUGCAGAUAGCAGGAAAAAGGCCAAUGAGGAUCUCAGAGUGAAAAAGCAAUCCCCAAAAGGUGUAGAUGUAAAUGUUAUAAUCUCCUGUUGGAAUUUUUUUUCCAGUUGUAAUUUAUGACUAUAUGGUCUGGAUUCUAAACUACCUAUCUCAUUUGAGUAUGUGUUCCAUAAUCAGUUCACUUCUCCCCAGUUAUCUAUAUUCAUUCUAACCCUUUUCCAAAGACAACAUUUUGUGUCUUGUGAGUGCAGUUAAUUAGCAAUUCUGAGCUAGUAGCUGAAAUGUUGGCCAAAAUGAUAAACAGAGGGAAUUGUGACAUAAAUUUUGCCUGACUAUGCCACAACAGUGGAUAAAGUAUGUUUAGAAAUUUGGUUUAUAAUGUGAGGAAUGUGCUAUGCUAUUCUAACUUUGCCUUUUUUUCUUCUGGUAUUUUGAGGGGAAAUGGACUAUAUAAGUUACUUCCAGUUGGGGCUCUGGAACAUUGAGAAUGUUGAAGGAGGAAGAUAAGUACAGAAGGAGAAAGCAGUUAUAGAUGGGAUGCCUGUCACAGCAUGGCUUGACAAGCGGUGCAUAAGCCCACACCUGUGAUCUGAACUGGUGAACCCCAGGCCACCAAAGCAAAAUGUGCGAACUUAACCGCUGCAGCACCAGGCCAGCCCCUAUGUGUCAAAGGCUAGAACAAGUUACCAUACUUCAGAGAAGAGAGGUGGAACUGCCAUCAAAGGUCACUGCCAAGAACCAAGAGAACAACUUCCUGUCCUUUGAUGAACACAACUACAAAGGAAUCAUGGCGGAAGUGUGGCCAGGGAUGUGCACCCCACCAACGGAUGGCUCAGGAUGGUCAGCACUGCUUUGUCCAAAGUUCAGCAUAUAUCUAGGUAGGGUUUGGUAGAAAGGCCUGGGAAGCUUCUUGUGCACGUGUGCCCGGGGGCCCGCGGCGUCGUGCUCUGAGGGCGGACUGACUGUUGCCCCUGCUCCGGGGCUCGGCUCUGGAUUCUCCAGGCCGCUGGCGCCCAUGAGGCGAUCGGCUCGCCCGCUGCGGAGCCCCCCAGCCUGCCUGGUUAGUUUGUCCAGGUUGGCAGAACGUGCUCGGAUCGAUGAUGACUCCCUCAUAUGCAUUCCUUGGAAAAUCUGAACAAAAUGAGUGAGAACUCACUACCGUCGUUCUCAUCGAAACUGAGGUCCGGCACGUUGUCUUCCCCAGGCAUGGCAGGAGUGAGGGACCGCUUCCCCUUGAGCGCACUGGGACGGGCACGGGCACCACGCCGGGCGUCCGCAUUUGGGAGCCGUGGCAUCUGGGGGUCCUUCCUCUCACCGCGUGAGGGGGGUGUCCGUCAGUCGGCGGUGCUUGGUUGAACGGCCUGUGGCUGAGGGCCGUGGCUGGCAGCUCGCAUCCUAGGUUGGGAAGUCGGAGAGUGUGGCGCUGGCACAGGCCCCGUGAGCUCAGGGCCUUGUGGCUGUGUGGGCCUGGUUCCCGCUGGGGACGAAGGCCCCGGGGGUCUGCGUCUCAGAGCUGAGCAGUAAGCAGUGGAAGGUCGCGUGGUUUCUGAUGAGAGCCCCGGGCCAGGCGGGCGGCCGUCAGCUGUUCUUGCCUUUUGGCUUGGUGAGGCAGUUGGAGCACCCCUCGCGGUUUGGGGCGCCGCCGGAGGGGUGAGACUUUGGUGCUGCAGCUUGGGGCUCCUCUAGUUCUCCGGCUCGCCCAGUCCACGCCAAGGUGCCCAAACGGGGACCGGGCUGUGGGCCUGGCACUCAGGUCAAGACACUGUGGUGGUUGAUGGCCUGGUCGUGGGGAGCUGGGGGGGAAGAAGAGCACGGAGAGGACAGGUCACAGUGUGAUGCCGUGGGCUUCCGUGGGACGUGCUGCCUCGUUGUGUUCCGAGCGCUGGCAGCGGCUUGUCGGGAAGGUGCCCUGGCUCUGACGGGGCUGGCGAUUGGUGCGUGCCGGGGAAGGCUGGAGGCUUGAAGGCCCGGGGGUGUGCACUGUGGUCGGUGACCUUUGUGGCAGAUGGCGGGCCUUGUUCCAGAGCGGUGGCGCUCUGCGGUUCUCUCCACGGUUCCUUGAAGAGGGGCCCGGCACGUGACUGCCGGGCGGCCGGCCGCCGCUGCUCAUCGAUUGCUUGGGCGACCGUGGCCUUGGAUCCUCCGCCGUCUCAGGCGCGGGGUCUCCGAGGAGAAAGCGUUCCUCCAGCACGGUCCGAUUUUCCUGGCGCGGUUCGCCUCAUGCCUCGUCGCAGGGCUUUAGGUUUCUUCGUGGAAGCCUGUGGGCCUGGCGGAGACGGCGGGUGCCGUGACCCGAGCUGCCCUGCCGCGCACAGACGUCCGCCUUGGAAAACGUCCGCCUCUCCAAGGGUGGCGGGGGCGGGGUGUGUGUGUGCUCGUUCCGUGCCUCCUCUUGCCUUCGUGGACAGAGCCAUCCUUGGGGCCGUGUGAGGUCGUUUGUGGUGUUACAGGUGCCGAGGGAGGGUCCAGACGUUGAACGUGACGGGUCGAGUCCCGUACGCACAGUCGAGAUUCCCUCGUGGCCGUCCUCCCCGGGGCUCCCUGGCCGCCACGUGUGUGUAGGGUUUGAGGUCCUGCUUGGGGGACUUGCCUCGCAGGCCUGAGGUGGGCCAGGCAGCGCGUGGGUGGGAAGGAGUCCUGGAAGGCCGGGGUCCAGAAAGCGGGCCCGCUGUGGUAACGCCAGGUCCCUGGACGGGAGUGGGCUCCAGGUUCAGUCGGGUCUUAGCGUGGGUCGUGGUGGCCACAGACCACCUCUUCCUGGCACUUCCCCUGCCCUGGCACCGCUGAGGGCGUGGGUGUAGCCUCAGUCAGCAGGAAGAGGCGCCUGGCCCCCGGUCCCCGGUGGCGUGGCCACUGGAGAUCAGGAGGGGCUGCUGCUUCUGCCCUCUAGCCCGUGUCCCAGCGGCGCCAGCCUUCGAGUGGUGUAGGCGCUUUACGUGGUUCAGGUCCAGCAGUGGUCGGCGCGUUUCCGUCGGGCGCGGUUCGCGUGGCACGGCGUGCGGGGACAGCGGGCGCCCACGGUCGGGCGGAGGGUGAACCUGCUGGAGUGUCGUGUUCCGGUGUUCAGAGGCAGGGGCUGUGAGAGAGGGAGCCUGUGGCCUAUUUCAGCAGGCCGAAAGGGCAGAGGUGAGCCGCCGGGCGAGUCGAGGUCAAAGCCGCCAGCGCGAGCUCUUGGUCUCGCGGCAGGGCCUGAGGCCAGGGAUGUGUGCGGAAGACGUGCUUCUUCAGGGGCUCGGGCCCCGCGCACCCGAAGACACGCACACGCGCCCGCCUGCGCGCCUUCCUGCGCUUGUGCUGUCACACACGCCUUCUUGUCACACCUGAGGGGAAGAGGUAGAGGCCAAGAAGAUGCAAGGCUUGCCCCGGGGCAGGGAGUCGGGGUGGAACCCUUGGCCUGGCUCUGGUUACCUGAGAGCCUGGCUGGGUCGCUGAGGCGUGCGCGUGCGAUUGCUCUGCACUUCCCAGGUGGGAUCUCCGAGCAAAGCUUGCCGUCGCCCAAGAAGAGAAGACCUUCCUGUCGUUUGUGGAGCGGAGACGCGAGGGAAUCCCGCAAGAAGCGUGGCUUCGGGUGCGCCCCGUGCCCGUGGCUCGCUGAGGCUGGUAAGGAUCCCCCUGCACCCAGUUCGUGCCGUUGGCCCUGGGAGUCCCAGACCGCGCUGAGAGGCUUCUAGCCCGCGGGUCCCCGGGGGCGUGCGGAGCUGGCGCUCUGAGGGUGGGUCGACAGUUGCCCUUGCUCAGGGGCUUGGCUCGGGAUUCUCCGGGCCGCUGGCCGACCCUGAGGUGAUGGGCUCACCCGCCGAGCCCCGCCAGCUGCCCCGAAGGUGCUCGGAUCGAUGAUGACUCCCUCAAAUGCAUUCCUUGGAAAUCUGAACAAAAUGAGUGAGAACUCACUACCGUCGUUCUCGCCGAGACUGAGGUCCAGCACCUGGUCUUCUCCGGGGGUGAGAGGAGUGAGGGACAGCUUCUGGUUGAUGACACUCGCGCAGAGCCCGCCCAGGGCCUCAGCGUGUGGGCGUCUGCUGUGUUUGCACCGGGAGCGUGACCGCAUGAGCUGGACGUUUGCGACUCGGAGGGACUUGCUUGAAUGGCCGGCCUCUGCUGGCGCGGCGCCCGGGUCGCAUGGGCGUCUUUAGAGUCGGAGAGUGUGGCGUUGGCAUGGGCCCGGCCCGUGGUUGGCGCUGAGUACGCGCUGGCCCGGUUCUGGCCUGAGCCGUUGCCCCGGGGGGCGUGGCGGGUGGGGUGGCGGUCCGUGUCUGGAGGCCGAACAGCCGAGUCUUCCCUGGGUUCCGUUCGGAGCCUCGGUUUGGGCCGGGCAAGCCGCAGCGCCUGUGGUUGCCUUCUGGCUUGGUGAGGAGGUGUGAUGGGCCCGUGGUUUUGGCGGCGGGGGCAGCGGCCCUAGGCCGCAGCGCUGCAGCUGGCAGCUCCUGUGUGUCACCUGCUCACCCGGGCCACACACAGCUGGCCAAAGGUGGCCCUGGCGCUGACGUCCAGGCAGUGUGGUGGCUGACAGGGCGGGCAGGAAGGAAAGGGAGCGGAGGGGAGCGGCCGUAGUGCGGUUUCACGGGCUUGCACAGGAUGUACCCUCUUGUUGGGUUGCGACCGCCGUCGCGGUCUUGCCAGGGGUGGCGUUGGGUCCCAAGGGGGCUGCCGGUUGUUGCCUGCCAGGGAAGGCUCGGCUGCGGUAGAUGACCUGUGCGGUAGACGGCGUCGCGCCCCCGGGAGGUUCGGCCCCCAGUGUUUGUCGUCCUAGCGCCUUGAAGAGACCCACAGGCCCGCGACUGGCCACCGGCCCCGUCUGCUCCGGAUUGCUGAGGCGGACAAUCUCUUUGACCCUGCGCCCCCUCGGGUCCGGCGCUUGCCAGGUGAAGGCGUUGCUGCAGGAAGGUUCGCUCUUCCUGGCCCGGGGGGCUCCUGUGGUCCCGGGCGUGCCGGGGAGCGGGGCCAGGUGGCGGUGUGGGGCGUCGGGGGGGGGGUGUGGGGGCGUGCGCGAGGGGUGGUUAAGAGCGGUGUGCGGAAGCCUGCGGGCGUGGCAGCGACCCGAGGGUGCUGCGAUCCUGGGCGCCCUGCCCCGGACGCACGUCCAGCGUGGAGGAGGAGCACGUCUCCUUGUGUGGGAGCGGUGUCCUAGUUUCAUUCUUUGCCUUGUCUUCCAGGAGGAGGCAGCGUUUGUGCUCUGUGAGGUCGUCUGUGGUGUUCUGGGGCCGAAGGAGGGGGUCAUAGGUCGAGUGCGACGCGGUCGACUUAGGCAAAGUCAUAAUGCCUUGACGGCUGUCGUCCGGGAGGCUCCCUGCCCGCCUGGCGCGCGAGGUGUUGGAGGCUACACCUUGGGGGACUUGCUGUGCAGGCGUGAGGGGGCUUCCCCUUUGGAGCAGGGAGCCGCGGGGUUGAACGUUUCCUCGAAGGCCAGCGCCCCGCAACCCGCAGGCGGUGGAAAUGCCGCGUCGCUGCGUGGGAAUUGGCUGUGGUCUGAGACGGGUCUUGCCCCGGGUCUCGGUGGCUGUGACCAGCCGUUGCAGCGGGGUUCCCUGCUGGCCCGCCCAGGGCGUCUUGGCUUAGAUAGCCCAGACCGGAGUGCGGCCUGAAGGCGUCGGGCCCCUGGAGGUUCAGACGGGCUGCUUCUGUUGCGCCGCCCGUGGGCGAGUGGUGCCGGCUCUCGUGUCAGCCCUGUUGUCCUGGCGGUAGCCAGGUAGCAUUACCAUCAAGUGCCGUUCCCCCCGGCCCAGCUCGCGGGGACACGCUGGCCACGUUGACCUCACAUCCACGGUCAGCGUGAGGGUGUAGGUGGAUGGUCCGUGUCCUUUGCUCAGAAGGAGUGGCGCUCAGAGAGGGAGUCCGGGGCCGAUUGCAGCAGCCUCUAGCGGUGCGAGUUGGCGUCCUUCCUUGGGAAGUCACCGGGCUUCCGCGUGGGGUGGCAGGGCACGAGGUCAGGCAUCUGUGAGGACGGCGUGCUUUCCCGGGUGCUGAGGCCACCGCACACGGAAGCCUGCAGGCACGCACGCGCGCACGCGCAAACACACACACACACACACACACACGUGCACAGGCCUGCGCAUCUGCCUACACUCGGGAUAUCACACGCGCCUUCGGUCAUCCCGAAGGGAUAGAGGUACAGGGCAAGCAGAUGCAAGGGUGCCGCGGGGGGAACUGUGGCACGGAUCCUGUCUUCUGACCAGCUGGGCACGUUUCUGAAGCAUGCGUGUGCUUUCUCUACACUCCUCAGGUGGAAGUGCCGUGCAAAGCUCGCUGCCGCCCACCGACAGAAGAAGACCCUUCGUGUCCCGUGACGAGCGCAGGUGCGAGGCAGUCGCGGCGGAAGUGUGGCCCGGGAUGCGCACCACGCCCUCGGACGGCCCAGGACGGUGGAAGUGCCGUGCAAAGCUCGCUGCCGCCCACCGACAGAAGAAGACCCUUCGUGUCCCGUGACGAGCGCAGGUGCGAGGCAGUCGCGGCGGAAGUGUGGCCCGGGAUGCGCACCACGCCCUCGGACGGCCCAGGACGGUGGGAUCUCCGAGCAAAGCUUGCCGUCGCCCAAGAAGAGAAGACCUUCCUGUCGUUUGUGGAGCGGAGACGCGAGGGAAUCCCGCAAGAAGCGUGGCUUCGGGUGCGCCCCGUGCCCGUGGGUCGCUGAGGCUGGUGGAAGAGCCGUGCAAAGCUCGCUGCCGCCCACCGACAGAAGAAGACCCUUCGUGUCCCGUGACGAGCGCAGGUGCGAGGCAGUCGCGGCGGAAGUGUGGCCCGGGAUGCGCACCACGCCCUCGGACGGCCCAGGACGUUCAACAUAGAAUCAGCACUGGUUUUCACAUGAAAGAAUUUUUUUUUUUCUCCUUGAGAAGUAAAAUGACGGAGACUAAGUCUGGCAUCCAAACUUCACUGUCCAGUGGGAAUUUUCACACUGAAUGGAAGUGAUUUUGGAAGAGCAUGGAAUACUCACAACUGUAGUGAAGAAGUGCUGAUUUUGUCACUUUUACCUGUUCCCUUUCCUGAGAUGGAACAAAACAGUGCAAUCCAAAGGUCAACAAGAACAAAUCUCAGGUUUCAUAUGAAAAUGUUUAUUCCUUCUCCUUGAGAUAAGACAUGAAGGAAAGGCCCAUCCUCAAGGACCAGUGGGAAUUCUUAGAUUGGUGGAAGCAGUGGGAUUUGAAGCAAACUUCUGACAACAUCCAGGGUCAACAAGAAACGCAGGUGUGGCACCCAUGAACCCUUUCGAGUUCACUCUUUCUUGUCAUUUCCAGGGGCCAUUGAGGGAAGGGACAUUUUACUGCUUGGAAUUCUCACUGCCACUCUGAAGAAGUGCUGUUUUUGUCACUUGCACCAGCUCCUUUCUCUGAAAAAGAUCAAAACAAUGCACUCCAGAGGCUGACAUGGACCAAAAAGUGGGUUUCAUAUGAAAGAGUUUAUUCCUUCCCUUUGAGAUGUGAAGGAAAGUAUUGGGAAUAAUUCUACCUUCCAUCCUCAAGGGCCUGUGUAAAUUCUCACAAAGGUACAGAUAGAGCCUAGAAGGAAAGGGAAACUAUGCCUUUCCCUUUACUCUUGAAUGUCAGCUCCAGAGAAUGAGCUGAAAACUUCCUUCUUAGUCAGUGAUUCUCCAUUCCUACUGGUGAUCUUUUGGACACUCUUGCAGAAGAUGACUACUUGGGAAUUCUUUGGGGAGUGAAUGAUACCAGUAAAUCCCUGAAACAAGACUUUUCAGACAAAGAGCCUUUUCACUUACCUGUUGUUCAAGGGCCACCCUCUAAAGUCUUCUUGCAGGUGAUGACCUCAAAGGCGAGGUGGAUUUGUUACUGUGGAAGCCAUUACUUCUAUCACCAGCUUCACCAAAAACAAUGAUACAGUCCUCCUUAUGCAUGGAGACUCCUCUCUUUCCUGUGUUGCAGUGGACACCUCCUGCAGAUAAGAAAUGCUUAACUGAGAAAUGCUCAUAUUGGGAUAUCAUCGAUGAGACUUUAAUUUGGGCAUGGUGACUGUUUCCCUUGCUGCCACUUGACUCAAUCCCAGGAGCCUCAGUAGAGGAAAUAUUAUUGCACAAGAAACUCAAAAUGGUGGAAUUGCUCAGUGCUCCCAUAAAUAGACAUUUAUAAUUUUCAUUUGCCAUGUGGUGAAUUUUAAAAAUAGGAUAUAUUAAAAAGAAGCUGCAUGAAUUUUUUCAAAAAUUCAAAGCAUUUCUAAAUAUCUAAUACAGAAAUUAAGUGCCCUCCUCUCUCCCAAUUCUAACCCCCAGAGUUUUUCUUUAUUAAGGGAGUUGUGUGCAUUCUUUAAGUGGAUAAAUGCACACAUGCAAGCUAUUUCUGGAGGGUUCUGGAAGUGGGGCCAUGCUGUACACAUUCUUCUGCAAAUUGCCUUUCAUUUAAUAGUUUUUUAAAUGCCCUUUUUCUAUUUCAGUAAUAUACAUUUGUGUCAUUUGUUGAAUGACUGCAUGACUGUUUUGUAGAUGAAAUAUAAUUAAAUGUUUUGAUUAUUUCUCAGCCAUAGAUAUUUAUGUUAGCACCAAAUUUCUGCACAGUGAACCUCCCUAUUUAUUAAUAGUUUUGCAUUUGUCUAUUAUAUCAUGAUAAAUUACUUAGCAGUUGAAAUACUGGGAUUAAGAAUGUGCACAUUUCAAAUUUUGAAAAUUAUUGCAAGAUUUCCUUAAAAAUGUGGUGACAACUUAUCCUAAAAUGGCAAUGAAUAAGAUUGCCAGCUUUCCCACAACCUCACAGAUAAUGGAUUUUAUAAAUAUUUAAAAUCUUUGCCAGUGUGAUAGCCCAAACUAUUGUCUUAAAUUGUAUUUCUUUUGUUUUUGAGUUUGAUCAUUUUUUCAUAUGUUAUUAGCCAUCUGUAUUUUUUAAUUUCCUCUUUAUGUCUGAUUUUGGGAGUCGGGGGAGGUUUUAGUCUCUUCCUGAUUUUGAAGAGCUCAUUGAUUAUUGGGGGAAUAACCUUUGGAUUGUCAAGCAUUACAGAUAUUUUUUACACACUUUUAAACUUCAUUUUUGAUAUAAGAAUGUAUAUAAUUAUUAUGUGUCUAAGUAUAACCGUGUUCGCUUCUAUGGCUUCUGAAUUUCAUGUCAUUUUGGAAAGGUAUUUAAACUGAUUCCAUAAAACCCUUCAUAUAUGUUAACUUCUAAUUCUUUUGUGUUUUUUUAAUUCAAAUUCUGAAAUCAUAAGAAAUUUUUUUAUUUGAAAUCUUAAAGUUGCCAAGUUAUUUGCCAUUACUUGCGAUUAUUUGCCAAUAAUUGCCCAUUUAUCUGUAAUGCCAUCUUGCACAUAUGCUGUAUUCUCAUCUGUGACUGGCUCCAUUUUUGUUCUGUGGAUCUUUGCGUCUCUUCUUCUGCCUCUUGUCUCAUGUGUCUUCUUGUUGGAAGAAAUUACAGUAUAGACUGCAAUUUCAUCAACUUUAAUAAAUUAAUUUAGGGGAGAAUUGGUUUUUAAUAAUAUAAGUCUUCCUGUUCAAGGACAAGGUAUGUCUUUUUUUUUAUUCAAUAAUUUUAAUUACUGUUAAUAUUUUCACUUUGUGAUGGGGGUGUUUUCUUUCUGUUUAUUUUCUUGAUAAUUUUUCUGUAUCUGAAAGUUUUGUGUUUUUUUUUGGUAAGUGGUCAGCUUACACUUUCUCAUGGCUUCAGAUUUUUUCAAAGUACAUACUAAAUCCUUUGCAAAUACUAGUAGUUUUUAGUCUCUCCUUCAAAAUGAUCUAGAUUUCAGUUAUGUUGAUAAAGUUCACUGACUGGUACUUUCAGAGCACUUAAACAAUUGUGGAAAUGUCCAACCUUGAUUUAAUCAGAUUUUAAUGGAAUGCUUCUUGGUUUUGACUAGCACAUUAUUGUUGGCCUUUUACCCAAAAAGACUUGCAGAAAGAGCUAUGAUCAAGCAAAGCUGAGUUUAUUAAACCUACUGCAGUAAGGAAAAACACCACUUUGACAAGAUUUAGUAGUGUUUCAAAAGCAGAAAGUUAGGACUUAGGGGUUUGGGCUAAUGUGGUUUAAGGCAGGCUUUUCAAGGCACAGAACUGGUUAGGAAUGGGCAGAAUCUGUCAUGUAAUAGUUUAGGUUUGUGAAAGAGUAAGGACCUUGAUAUGAGUCUAGAUAACCAAAUUUGUGUCUGAUAAAUGAGCUGUUUGCCCAUGUGAGUUAGAUGUUAUCAAUGAGCUAUUUGCUUUGAUGAGCAAGCUGAAUCUACUUAUUGGUUUAUAGUUCAUUCUUGUUUAUAGGACACUGCUGGGGGUUGCAUGAGGUCUUAGUGCCAAUAGGUAAGUUAUUUUGAUGUGGGUAGUCUCAAUUGUCAAUUUAAUAUGCUAAUUUUAAACUUAAGAUAUGUUUUGUAUCAUGUUAGGAAAGUCUUCCACCUUUUAUAUAUUUCUGAAUAAUUUUAAAAUGAGGUGGUAGAUGUAAUCAAAUACUUUUUGCGUAAACAAUUAUAUUAUUCUUUAAUUAAACAUAUCAUUGUGAAAUAAUUCAUUUUCUGUUAAUGAAAUUUCCUUUUAUUGCUUGAAUGAACAAACCCUAUUUGGUAAAUAGAUGUUUUACUCUUUAAAUUUACUACUGAAUUAUAAGUAU
ensembl:lncRNA